GAAUAUUGGACAAUGGGCGCAAGCCUGAUCCAGCCAUGCCGCGUGUGUGAAGAAGGCCUUCGGGUUGUAAAGCACUUUCAGCGAGGAGGAAGGGUGUUGUGUUAAUAGCACAGCAUUUUGACGUUACUCGCAGAAGAAGCACCGGCUAACUCCGUGCCAGCAGCCGCGGUAAUACGGAGGGUGCAAGCGUUAAUCGGAAUUACUGGGCGUAAAGCGCACGUAGGCGGUGUGUUAAGUUGGAUGUGAAAUCCCCGGGCUCAACCUGGGAACUGCAUUCGAUACUGCAUUGCUAGAGUAUGGGAGAGGGAAGUGGAAUUUCCGGUGUAGCGGUGAAAUGCGUAGAUAUCGGAAGGAACACCAGUGGCGAAAGCGACUUCCUGGACCAAUACUGACGCUCAGGUGCGAAAGCGUGGGGAGCAAACAGG
rnacentral:rRNA from 1 species